rnacentral:sRNA from 1 species
GGAACAUGUGGUAUACACAGAACAGUUAUGGAUCACUUCGAUCGCCACAACAUCCCAUGUGAUGAAUAUUUUGGCAAUACCAUCUCCCAGGAUCUUUAGUGGACAAACCACAUCCAUACCACCAUAUGCAAAGUAGGUUUGGCUUUCUGAGACGUAACCUGGACCAAUACACACCAUCGGCAAAGGCAACAGCAUACUGUACCCUGAUCCGACCAGCGAUCAAAUAUGCAUCGUCCGAGUGGGACCCCCACCAAGUCACACUCACCAGAGAAAUUGAGCAGAAAUCAGGUUGUGGAAAUAAACCCAGAGAAUUAUUCACACCCGGUUACAGACGAACAAGAGGGAAGCCACAGACUCGGACAGCCUUGUGCCAGUAAAGAAGUAUACAGGAAUUCUUUCUUCUCACGUUGGCGAGGGACUGGAAUCGUCUACCAGAUCCAGUCACAGAGGCACCUACCAUCGGAGAGUUCAGGACCAGACUUUCCAGGGUCCCCUGGACUCAGCUGCAACCAUGAUAGACGACACAACAAACUUUACGUAUGUGCCGAGCUGGGAGGGACCUUGGCUCACAUGGAGACACAGGAUGAAAGCGAUUUCCUGGAGAACUUCGUCCUGAACCAAGUAUUUCGGACAGUGUUUCUGUGGGAAGGUAUCUCUGGAAAAGUUCCAGAGUUAUGGCCCGUCCCCAGAGCACCAGUGUACGCUGCCCUGUCAUGGUGAUAAGCAGGAACGGUGCGGGGGUCAUUGGAGGUCAUCGGUAUACCUAACAGGUGGCCGAAAACACUGGGUAGGGGGGACAGAUAUGAUGGAGGAGGGAAAGUGGGCGUGGUUUCCCGGCAAUGAACCUGUGACGUAUACUGAUUGGCUUCCGACAGAACCAGACAACAAAUUACAUUCGUCGUUAGAGAAAGAACACUGCAUGACAUUGUCGCCAAGCUCACAUAUUUUUUACCAAUGGAGCGACGAAAUAUGUAGCAAGCUGUUGAAUUUUAUAUGUGAGAGAAUCGCUAUAAGGUCGGGUGUUUAAUGGAUUAUGGUACGGUGGUUUGUUCGUUUGGAGCAGUCACGUGAAUGGUCGCUUGCAAUUGUCACGUUUAUGAUCGUUGAAAAUUUUUAAGAAACUAGUUUUCAUAUAUUUAAUUAUCAAUAACACAAAACACUUUUCUUCCUCCUUGUAAUAAAAUAUAUAUAAUAAGGGAAAUGUAAAUUAAAUGUAAAAAUGUAUGUAGAGAAUGCAUUUACAAUACGUUUCAUUCACAAAUCUAAAUCAAGUUUUCUGAAACUUCGUUCAUCUUAUUUGAAAACUAGCUUAAAUCAUGUUUAUUGCAUAUUGACUGGGUGUGAAGACCGUUACAGCUUGUUUUACCCAGAGCUCUAACGGCAUAAUUAUUGCUUUUACCCUUCUAAAUUUGUGCUUACAUAUGUAUACUUUAUAGAAAACCUCGUCAUUUGCCUUUUCAUGUAUUUUUAACAAAUGAAGAAAGUAUGUUUUAUAAUAUAUUUUGUUCUAAAAUGCAUGAUACAUAUACAUUAAUAUUGAAAAAAACCCGGUAUUUUAAAAUAACGUAAUAAGUCAAGACGCGGUAAAAUAAAAGUAACAGUGUCAAUCUCUGUAAAAGACAUAUCACAGGUAGAUGGCGGAAUGCGUUAUUAACGUCAUAAAGCGUGGACGUUUUCUGGCUGGUAUGUCAGGGAACUUCGUCUUGCUAUUUCAUUGAUAAUCUCAUCCUGACUCCAGCCAAACUUCUCUGAUAGAUAUUUCUGAAAUCACAGAAAACAUUGCCAGUUUUUGAUUGAAUAUAGCAUAAUUGGUUAAAAUAAGGGACACUCCUUUAAAUGACUUCCUACCGGAGGUUUUCCAACAGAUUGAAAUUGUAGUUUUCAUUGGCCUUGAACAUUACCGUACUGCAUUUAAAAGAUUACCUUUACUGUCAAAACCGUUCCAGGUCCCAAAGCCUGAAUGACAAAAAAAUGCUAUACCUCUCAUAUCAAUAUUAUGUAAAAUAAAUAAAUAAAUUUUAAAAACCUCUUGCGGUAAACAAGAAGUAAAUGUUAUCCAAGGAAAUAUAAUUGCAAGUACAUUGUAUGCGUAUAUAUGUAUUCAGCUACGAUACACAAUUAUUUCUGAGUGCUGUUAUCGUACUCACAAUAUAAGCAACGAACAUGGAGUAAAUAAGUAGAACGACCGUUGUUACGAGGUAGAUGUACCAGGCUUGUCCAGUCCCC